AUGGAAGGCGAAUCAUCAGUGAUCUUGCCGCUGCCGGUGCUGGUGCACGACCUUGGAACCCGUGCCGAAGAUUCGCUGACGCAGUACAGCAUCUCAACCCGUGCAUCGAGCACGGCAGCCAGCGACGUGCUGCGAGACCACCGGUGUUUUGAGACCCCGCAGGGCUGGAUGCUCGCGCUGGACCCUGCCUCCUCACAGACGUUCCUGUUCCGGCCUCAGGACGGCGAGAGGAUCCGGCUGCCGCCUUUGGAGGAGGCGCUCCCGCUGCGCUGCAAGUGCUUGCUCUCCGACAAUCCCAUUGCGAAGCCAGGCUGCGCCGUCGUGGUCUUCGAUCUCGACGACAGCAAGAUGUGGACGUGCAACAUUGGGGCGAGCAAGUGGGAAAUCCACCGCUACCAGCUCACCAUGUUCCUCGACGGCGACGUACCCCGGGAGAAGAACAUGGCCAAGUGCCAUGGCAUGGCAGCCGUCGGCGGCAAGAUUUACUACGAGAUAACCGCCGAUGAAUUAGGGUUCAUCCGUUUUAACUGUGAUGGUAGUCCAGAACUCGACACCAUAGCUGUCGACAUGGUCGAUCUGCCGCUGAGCAUGCCGAUGGCGACAACCUACCUGGUUGAAUCCUGUGGCGAGCUCUUCCUCGUCGUCAUCUUCUUCGAUGGCGACAAUGUGCACAAGGUAGCGGAGCAUGCGGUUUACAAGAUGGACUUCUCGAGACCGGCGUGGUGCAAGGUGGACAGCAUUGGUGAUGAUAGAGCGUUCCUUCUUGGUGGAGAUAGGAUUGGGAUCUCCAAUUUCGGGGCGUCGUGCUCGACUGCUCAUCACGAUGGUGGUGGUCUGCGAGGCAACUGCAUGUAUUUUCUGAAUCACAUGGCCAUCACUGAGAACUUUCUGCAUGUCAUCGACGUGGGCAACGGGACUGAACAGGUGCAACGGCCUUUCAGGCACAAGGGUUAUAUGAUGCCAGUUCGACCGCCGUUCUGGUUGGUACCUACGGAAUGUACCCCAGGAAAUAGACAACAUAUACAAAAUUGA
rnacentral:rRNA from 1 species